UUCAAAGUAAAAAGGAAAUUACGAGGGAAGACUAGGGUGUAGAGACAGGGUCGAAAGAACAUCGAAAGUCUGAUCCGAGAAACGCCGACGAUCAGGAGACCAUAGAGGGAAACCUCUUAAAAGAGAAGACUCAGCGAACUGAAACAUCUAAGUAGCUGAAGGAAAAGAAAUCAAAAGAGAUUCAUGUAGUAGUGGCGAGCGAACCAUGAGAAGUCAAAAGUCUAAUCGAAAAAGAGCCGAAAGCGCAACAGGGUAAAAGAGUCCCGUAGGCCCUAAAAACGAAGAAGACAAGAGUACAACAUGUAAAAAGGUUGGAAGAACGGGGAACCGAAACUCGAAGACUAAAUAUCUCUACACACCGAUAGUGCAAGAGUAACGUGAGUGAAAGUUGAAAAGAUUAGCAAAGCUAAAGUGAAAAAGAACCGAAAAUCGUAAUGACGGAGCAGCCAAGAAGAAGGCGUACCUUUUGUAUAAGUGCGAAUCGUAAGCAGUCAAAUGUAAUGCUAAGAAAAUAGCCAUGCCAACGUUGUGGCAUGAUCCUACUUAGAUGUGGAUACAAAGUAAUUAGUAUUUGCAGAGCUCUAAGGACAAUGAACCAAAACAUCGUGGUAGAUGUGGAGGGCUAGGAUGUGUAUCUAAGAUGAAUGAAAGUGAAUCGACAUUAGAACCUUCGUAAAAGGUAAACCCGACCACUAGAAAGGGUUAAGUGUUAGGUGUAAAAGUUUUAUGCUCUCUUACGCACAACGUCAAGUAACACCGGAGGAAAGUCGGCAUCUAAGGAUCAAAUAAUGUACAUAGGAUUGAACGAGGUAACUCCAAUAAUUGCUUCCGCAAGGGAGAAGCAAGUCAGUAAUGGCAUGUAUAGAUUAGUGGAGAGAAGACAAACAAAAAGCGAAAGCUCAUCGGUAAUAGAAGAGAUAGAUCAGUACGGUCGCAAGACAGGAAGAUGAUCAAUUCGAAAGAAUGCAGACUUGUUUAAGGGUGAGACGCGCUAUUAAUCGUAGUAGCAAGGCACAUGAACCUGCGAAAAUCCGCAAAAAUCGAGAGAGGCAUGUGCCGAUACGAAGAUGUAGAAAGGAGCUAAUAUUAGUAUAAAGAAUAGGUCAGCAUAAUAUGAGACCAACAAAGUCCAGUCAAGUAGAUAGUAAAAAAGCAUCAAAUUACGUCAAGUAGCAACAACGAUAAAUAAUAGUUGCAUUCCAUUACAGGAACAGAAGUGAAAAAGCAACUGUAUCCGAAGUAAGGAGGCGAUAAACAAAGAGUCUUGCUUGAGCCGUAUGCAUAGAAAUGUGCAAGUACGGUUCUGAGGGGGGGAAAGAUCGAAAUAUCCUACCUAUCCCAAUUGGGCGUGCAAGUGAUAUAUAGUAGCAAGUCGCAAGGCGUAGUGAAAACGAAGAAGCUACAGUAUAUCGGACCCGAAACUAAAUGAUCUACUCAUGACCAGUUUGAACUAGUUUGUAAAAGAAUUAGGAAGGAACGAACACGUGAAUGUCGCAAGAUUCUGUGAUGAGUUGUGAGUAGGGGUGAAAUGCCAAUCGAAUUUAGAGAUAGCUGGUUUUCUGCGAAAACUAUAAAGGUAGUGCCUUGUAUGUGAGUAACUAAGGUAGGGCAAUAGGCGACAUCUAUAGAAGAAGUCAAGAAUCACCGAAUGUAGAGACUAUGAAGUACAAGAGUCAGACUUAGGGCGAUCAGGUUCUAGGUCAAAAGGGAAACAACCCAGAAUAGAAGUUAAGGUCAUUAAUAGAAGCUAAGUGUGCAAGGACAGUAAAGUAACAUAGACAACUAAAGAGUAGGCUUGGAAUCAGCCAGCAAACAAAGAACGCGUAACAGCGCAUUAGGUUAGGUUAUUUUGCGCCAAAAAUAUAGGUGGCUAAGCUUUUAACCGAAACUCUAGAAAGAGGUAGCAGAACAUUUCGUAAACUCGAAAGAGAUAAUGCAUGCAUGAGUAACUAAAAAUCAAGAAACAAGAUUGACCGUAAGCUCAAGGAGUAACAAGACAGUACCUAAGUAACAAAACCUGAAAAGGAAUGAUAAUGGAGAUAAGGUCGGGAAUUGUAGUAUUGUAAAAUAUUAUAAUAAUCAGGAAAGGCCCGCCUAAAGAAAACUGUACCAAUCUACCACAAGUGAGCAAGUAGAGAAUACAAAGGUCAAUGCAUAACCAUCCUAAAGGAACUCGGCAAAAUGUACCGGUAAGGCAACGAGAACGGUAACUUUUAAAUAAGUAGCAUAGAAUCGGGAAGGCCGACUGUUUACUAAAAACACAGCUAUUUGCGAACAUGUAAAUGGAAGUACAAGUAGCGAUCCCUGCCCAAUGGUCGUAUCCGAAAGUUUAAGAUGCAAGUCAAGGAUAUAAGGACGACUAAAUGGCUGCAGUAACUCUGACUGUAAUAAUGUAGCGCAAUCAAUAGUCUAUUAAUUGUAGACAGGUAUGAAGGGGAACACGAGCUUUCCGCUGUCUCUAGGAUGAAGCAAGUGAAAUUGGAGUCGUAGUGAAGAUACUAUGAGAUAUAUGGCGGGACAAGAAGACCCUAGAAGCUUAAAUGUUAUCAUAAGUUGCUAUGUUAAGAUUGCCAAAGUAGAGAAUUAGAGAAUCUUAAGAUAAAAGUGAAAGACUAAAAGGCUAAUAUUGACAUAGCUAAGAUUAAUAAAAGCAAAUAAGACGACAUCUUAUGAGAGACAUUUUGAAUGGGGCGUUAGCCUUUUAAAGAGUAACAAAGGUUAUCAAAGGUCGGCAUAGAAGCGCAAUAGUAAAAGCCGGCUUGACUGUAAAGUAGAUAUACAGAGCAGGGUCGCAAGACGGAUAUAGUGACCAGCUACAAUGUAAUGGUAACAAGUAGCAAUCAAAAGGGAAGCUACUCUAGGGAUAACAGGGUAAUUGAGAAUAAGAGUCCAUAUCUAUUUCUCAGAUUGCCACCUCGAUGUUGAAUCAACGUAUCCUGGGGCUGCAGAAGGUCCCAAGGGUCCAACUGUUCGUUGGAUAAAACGUUACGUGAUUUGAGUUUAGAACGUAGAAUACUGCGUUAAUCGGAAGAGAUUUCGAUAAAAAGAAUCAACUUAUAUCGGUGAAGCCUAAACCCUAUUGGCAAACUCCCAAUCAAUCGACAGGGCAAGGUAAUACCGAGGGAAGGAAAACUAAGACCUCAUAAAAAUCAAUUCAGCUAAAAGUAAAUAAUGAAAAAUAAUGAAUGAAAAAAGUAAUAAAUGAAACACAGAAGGCAUAUAUAGCCGGUAUAAUCGAUGUAAAUGGUAGUAUAAUGGCUCAAAUAGUGAAACAUGAAAGCUAUAAAUAUCAUUAUGAAAUCCGUGUGUCAGUAGUAUUGUAUCAAAAAUCGAUAAGACAUUGGGCGAAUCUAGAAAUGCAACAAGAGAUAGGAGGAGAAGUCCGACAAAGAUCGAAAGGAAUGUCAGAAUUGACAAUAACGGGAUCGACACCAGUGAAGAAUCUAUUAGAAAAGAUAUUACCAUAUUUAAGAUUAAAGAAACGAAUAGCGGAAUUGGUAUUAGAAAUAAUAAAAGAUAAAGAGAGAGCAGUAAGCAAAGACAGCUUUUUAGAGGUAUGUAAAAAAGUAGAUAAAGUUAGCGAGCUUACAGCCACGAAAGGUCGAAAAACAACCUAUGAAGUGGUAAAAGCCUCAAUAGAAAAAGAAACUUAGUGACCACCUGUAGAGACUUAGCCCAUAGCAAAAGAGGAAAAGCUUAGGGCGGAUAGCUGCCAAAUCCUCGCAGUUAUAACACGUUGACUCCUAAGGCGAAAAAAGCCAAGGAUGAAGAUAUAGUCCAUACCACAUGAAAAUGUGGAGAAAAAAUGCGUAAGACAGUUCGGUUUAUAUCUGCCAUAUAAGAGAAUCAAACAUCAAGUUCUGCAUUGUACGCAAGGAUCCGCAGGACGGUCCCUCUGAUAUACUUGUUGUCGUAAGGCAUAGCAAGGUAGUUAAGGAUCAAAGGAUAAGAGUUGAAAGCAACUGAAACUCGAAGCCUAAGAAAAAUCGAUUCAUAGGAUAGCAUAAGACUAAUGCAAAGAUAGGUAACGGGUGUAAGCAAUGAGAAUUGUGUAGCCGAGUUAUACUAAAAAUCCAUAAACUUUGAAAG
rnacentral:rRNA from 1 species